rnacentral:rRNA from 1 species
UGCGUAGGUGGCAGGGUAAGUUUGAUGUGAAAUCUCCGAGCUUAACUCGGAAACUGCAUUGAAUACUAUCUUGCUUGAGGGUUGGAGGGGGGACUGGAAUUCUCGGUGUAGCAGUGAAAUGCGUAGAUAUCGAGAGGAACACCAGUGGCGAAGGCGAGUCCCUGGACAACUCCUGACACUGAGGCACGAAAGCUAGGGAGCAAACA